rnacentral:rRNA from 1 species
CCCUUAGAUGUUCGGGGCCGCACGCGCGCUACACUGAAGGACUCAGCGUGUCUCUCCCCCUAUCCCGAAAGGGAUGGGCAACCCGUUGAACCUCCUUCGUGCUAGGGAUUGGGGUUUGCAAUUAUCCCCCAUGAACGAGGAAUUCCCAGUAAGCGCGAGUCAUCAGCUCGCGUUGAUUACGUCCCUGCCCUUUGUACACACCGCCCGUCGCUCCUACCGAUUGAAUGGUCCGGUGAAAUCUUCGGAUUGCUGACCAAGAUCCAGCAAUGGAGCUUGGUUGCGAGAAGUUGAUUAAACCUUAUUAUUUAGAGGAAGGAGAAGUCGUAACA